rnacentral:rRNA from 1 species
UACGUAGGGGGCUAGCGUUGUCCGGAAUCAUUGGGCGUAAAGAGCGUGUAGGCGGCCCGGUAAGUCCGCUGUAAAAGUCAAAGGCUCACUCUUGAAUGUCAGUGGAUACUGCCGGGCUAGAGUCCGGAAGAGGCGAGUGGAACUCCCGGUGUAGCGGUGAAAUGCGCAGAUAUCGGGAGGAACACCAAUGGCGAAGGCAGCUCGCUGGGACGUUACUGACGCUGAGACGGCGAAAGCGUGGGGAGCAAAUAGG